AUUGAACGCUGGCGGCAUGCCUUACACAUGCAAGUCGAACGGCAGCACGGGUGCUUGCACCUGGUGGCGAGUGGCGAACGGGUGAGUAAUACAUCGGAACAUGUCCUGUAGUGGGGGAUAGCCCGGCGAAAGCCGGAUUAAUACCGCAUACGAUCUACGGAUGAAAGCGGGGGACCUUCGGGCCUCGCGCUAUAGGGUUGGCCGAUGGCUGAUUAGCUAGUUGGUGGGGAAAAGGCCUACCAAGGCGACGAUCAGUAGCUGGUCUGAGAGGACGACCAGCCACACUGGGACUGAGACACGGCCCAGACUCCUACGGGAGGCAGCAGUGGGGAAUUUUGGACAAUGGGCGAAAGCCUGAUCCAGCAAUGCCGCGUGUGUGAAGAAGGCCUUCGGGUUGUAAAGCACUUUUGUCCGGAAAGAAAUCCUUGGCCCUAAUACGGUCGGGGGAUGACGGUACCGGAAGAAUAAGCACCGGCUAACUACGUG
rnacentral:rRNA from 1 species